rnacentral:tRNA from 1 species
GCUGAGGUCGCUUAAUCAGGUAGAGCACUGGCCUGCUAUUUUUUGCAGAUAGUCAGCGUCCUUCGGGACUUAAGGGUUCAAAUCCCUUCCUCAGCG